UACGAAGGGGGCUAGCGUUGUUCGGAAUUACUGGGCGUAAAGCGUAUGCAGGCGGAUCGUUAAGUCGGGGGUGAAAUCCCGAGGCUCAACCUCGGAACUGCCUUCGAUACUGGCGAUCUUGAGUCCGGGAGAGGUGAGUGGAACUCCGAGUGUAGAGGUGAAAUUCGUAGAUAUUCGGAAGAACACCAGUGGCGAAGGCGGCUCACUGGCCCGGUACUGACGCUGAGAUACGAAAGCGUGGGGAGCAAACAGG
rnacentral:rRNA from 1 species